AAAACUGGUUUUAAAAAGAAAUUUAAAUUUCCUUAAGGUCUUUCUGUAAUAUAUAGAAGCAUUAACAUUUUAAAUCUUAACUGAAAAACUUGUUUUUAAGAUGGUACUUCUAAUUUCCAUGCGGUCACCUUUAGUUAAGAUGGCGGUCUAAGUAUCCUUUUUUUAACUUUAGCAAAAUGGCUACCGUCAGUCAUGUGACCAGCUACAAAAUGGCCGUACCAGGAAAUAGAACAUUUUAAAACAAGCAUACAUAAAUUACUUGAGCAACUUUAGGAUAUGAGGCUUUUCCCAGGCAUCCCAGGCCUCCAAGCAGUGUUGAAUAACAUGCACGGCCUUUUCCCCUAUCAAAGACUGGGAAAGCCAUCUGUAAUUUUCUCUGCUCCUCUGAUGGUAAAAAGGAGUCGGUACCAAAUAGUGGGGGUGCUGAUGGAAGCACACCCGCUGGAUUAACAGGUCUCUUAAAUUUACCGGGGUGUGACCGGUUAUUCCCCAUUUUCUCUCCCCCCUUUUUUGUUUCUUUUUCACCUACCUGAGCUGUUUCCUCUAAAACUUUAUCUCUUGAGCUUUUAGAGUCAUUAGAGCUAUCAAGAUUUAAAGCUUUAAACUUAUUUACAGAAUCAUCUAACAAAUUAUUCACUCCCUUGUCAGUAGACAUUCCAGGAGGUCCUUUUUUCUUAUAUUUUAUUGUUAGGCGCGCCCCAUCUCUCACCACAUUCGGUUUCUGAUAUGUAAUUCUGGACUUCUUUAAGAUUGCUACAACAGUGAGAAAAGUCAAAAUAGCUCCUAGUAAAAGCAUAGAAGCCUCUAUAUUAACCUCCCACAAUAGCAACAUUCCCAAGCCAAAGUCCAGAAAAAUCAUACCUCUCCGAAUUUACCACCCUGCAGUUCUGAAUCCGCCUCGUUAGAGGGGUCUCCGAGGUGCUGGAAAUGUUCACAUGUUCCCGGGUUUCGGCACCAUAUGUCCCGCGCGCUCUCUGUAUUUCUCGCCAGCAAGAAAUCAUACACGGGACACUCGGAUCCUUCUGCAGACAAGCUUUAAUGCGUCUUGAGAGGAGAGCAUAAGCUUACCAGAG
rnacentral:lncRNA from 1 species